rnacentral:pre_miRNA from 1 species
CGAUGAUGGUGACGAUGAUGAUGACGAUGAUGAUGACGACGACGAUCAUGAAUUAUGUACACUGCCGACAUCAUCAUCAUCAUCAUCAUCAUCAUCAUCAUCAUCAUCA